AACGCUGGCGGCGUGCCUAACACAUGCAAGUCGAACGAAGCACUUCUGAUCGGAGAUUCGUCGAAGAUUGGAUUUGACUUAGUGGCGGACGGGUGAGUAAUGUAUGAGCAACCUGCCUUUCAGAGGGGGACAACAGUUGGAAACGACUGCUAAUACCGCAUAAUGUAUUGAGAGGGCAUCCUUUUGAUACCAAAGGAGCAAUCCGCUGAAAGAUGGGCUCAUAUCUGAUUAGUUAGUUGGCAGGGUAACGGCCUACCAAGACUGCGAUCAGUAGCCGGACUGAGAGGUUGAACGGCCACAUUGGGACUGAGAUACGGCCCAGACUCCUACGGGAGGCAGCAGUGGGGAAUAUUGGGCAAUGGGCGAAAGCCUGACCCAGCAACGCCGCGUGAAGGAAGAAGGUCUUCGGAUUGUAAACUUCUUUUAUGAGGGACGAAGGAUGUGACGGUACCUCAUGAAUAAGCCACGGCUAACUACGUGCC
rnacentral:rRNA from 1 species